rnacentral:other from 1 species
UGUUCCCUGGGGUGUUCGCCAGUCGGUGAAUGUCCCUGAGCCGAUGCUACCAGAAAAGGGUCCUGCUUGAUGGUCAGUGUGCAAGCCCGGCGUGUACCGGGAAGCCUGAGAUCAUUAACUCAGCACCCGCCUUGAACCAAGGGUUCAAGGGCGACCACGCGGCAGCGGCACCCUGGGGGACAC